GACGAACCGUGCGAGCGUUAUUCGGAAUCACUGGGCUUAAAGCGCGUGUAGGCGGGAGGGCACGUCCGUCGCUGAAAUCCCCCGGCUCAACCGGGGAACGGGCGCGGAUACGACCUUCCUGGAGGGGCGUAGGGGGACCUGGAACUUCCGGUGGAGCGGUGAAAUGCGUUGAGAUCGGAAGGAACGCCCGUGGCGAAAGCGAGGUCCUGGACGCCUAUUGACGCUGAGACGCGAAAGCCAGGGGAGCGAACGGG
rnacentral:rRNA from 1 species